ACGUUUAGUAAUGCCGAAUAAUCAUGUGUACAGUUGCCCCAGAGCGAUGACGUUACUUUUUAAACUCAAUUUAUUUAUAUAUAUUUAUUUAUGAUUUUAUUUAUG
rnacentral:ribozyme from 1 species